GGUGCCGUUCGUUAGCUGAGGCUCCUUCGCGGACACAAGCCAGCGACCCCCAACGUCGAGAGACGCCACAGGUCAGGACAGGCUGCCCCGGGCUAAGGGGCAACCCCGAUUGGCUCUCCGGGUCCUCCCCGGGGUCACGACGCGAAGUGCCAAAGGUCUUACGAGGAAGGGCCCG
rnacentral:sRNA from 1 species